rnacentral:misc_RNA from 1 species
GAUGAAGAACGCAGCGAAUUGCGAUAAGUAAUGUGAAUUGCAGAAUUCAGUGAAUCAUCGAAUCUUUGAACGCACAUUGCGCCCCCUGGUAUUCCGGGGGGCAUGCCUGUCCGAGCGUCAUUACAACCCUCAAGCUCAGCUUGGUGUUGGGCCCCGCCGCCCCGGCGGGCCCUAAAGUCAGUGGCGGUGCCGUCCGGCUCCGAGCGUAGUAAUUCUUCUCGCUCUGGAGGUCCGGUCGUGUGCUCGCCAGCAACCCCCAAUUUUUUUCAGGUUGACCUCGGAUCAGGUAGGGAUACCCGCUGAACUUAAGCAUAUCAAUAAGCGGAGGA